rnacentral:ncRNA from 1 species
CGGAUCUAAACAAUAUACCGAAACCUUGUCCAUAUUUUACUAUUGGCUAAGUAUAAGAUAGAUAGAAUUUUNUGGGGUAGCAGAACGUUGAAUUAAAUUAAGAUAUUUCCUCAGUGAAGAAAUAUAUAAUAAACAAUUCAAGUGAGAAUGGUGACAUGAGUAACGAAUAAGAAGGAGGUGAACCCGAAACCCCACCCCCGCCUUAGGGGAAUGGCCUAGUAAGGUUCAUCAUAUCCUCCGCCUAAAGCUUAUGGCUUGGUGGAAGCUCCAAAACGGCCUCUAAGUAUAUGAAACCGAACGGGCUAUACGAUGAGAGAUUUACUGAAAGACAACAUUUUUAAGUGAGAAGUGUGCUGGAAAAUUAGUAGGGAAUGUCUGGGAGACUGGUCGCUAAAAAAUAGUAUCCUUGACUAGGAUCGUGUAAAAUCUAUACUAAACUAAUACCGUACCUAGAGUCUGAAACAAGUAAGCUAGUAGAGAAUACGAAGGCGUAAAUGAGCUAACAAUCAUAAAGGAACUCGGCAAAUUAACUACCGUAACUUCGGGAUAAGGAGGGCUCAUUAGUCCUGAUUAAUAUCGGGUAAAAAGGAAGAAGCAUAAAAUAAUGUUGUACGACUGUUUAAUUAAAACACAGCACUUUGCUAAAAGAUUAAUAAUCGAUGUAUUGAGUGUGAUGUCUGCCCGAUGCCGGCUGGUUAACGGAUUUAACUAAAUUUUUUCAAAAAUUUGGUGUUGAAGGAACCCCCGGUUAAUGGCGGCCUUAACGUGAGGGUCCUAAGGUAGCGAAAUGCCUUGGCCGUUAAAUGCGGUCUUGCAUGAAUGAUGUAACGAUACAACAGCUGUCUCUAUGAUUGACUCAGUGAAAUUGGAAUAACUGUGCAGAUACAGUUUACCUCUAGUUAGACGA